GUUGGCGGACUUGAGAAGGAGCGAAGAUGGCGGAGUGAAGCACAUUGAGGCUAUCUGGCCUUUGGGCCAGGGGGCGGGCCGGCCCCCGGGCGCUGGAGUGCUUCUGCCGGCCCGUGCAAGGAAGAACAAUUUCCUUGCCAUUUAGGUGCUUUUAUAUUCAUCUCAAAAAGAAAACAAAAUGCUGAACUCGGGAUUUGGCAAAACCUCCCCCACCCAAGUCAAAGGACAUGACCCCCAGGAAGACUGCCCUUACUUUAGAUGUCAGCUGUAUUUUGAAGGAUUCUCAGGACACUUCUACUUCUGACCAACUGGCUGCAGAUUCAGGAAUUCCGAUGACCCUGCUUAGUUGCCAUGUGGCAUCUUCGUUCCAUGACCAGGGAUCGAACCCAUGUACCCUGCAUUGGAAGGUGGAUUCUUAAUCACUGGACCACCAGGGAAGUUCUUGUCUCAAGAUAUUGUCAAAGUUCCCUCGUGAUUUCUUCGUUGACCUGUUGGUUGUGUCAGAGUGCUUCUACAUUGUCUCCUGGAGUGGGGUAGUCCUGCUUCUCUUAUCCAGUCACCUUCCCUGUUGAAAUGUGGAUGUUUCUUCUCUACACGUUGCCUCCGUGACUUGCACUGGAAAGGCUGCUCUUCUUUUUGCUCCCACUCAGAUUCAGCACAGAGAAGCCCUGGGCACAGUCUUUCCGCCAGGUUCUCCUGGAAGAGAGCGGCAGCUGAAUCACAAAGAAAUUAUUUCAAAAGCUGAAGGCUGAUGUCUCGUUUGAAGCAGAUGCUUUGAUGGUGAUAUUUGUGAAUUCUUUACCUUUUGUUCCAAACAAGAAGACUGAAUAUAAAUAGCAGGUAUCGGUAUCACAUCAGGGUUCUGGGGUUUUUUUGUCUUCCAGUUUUAAUCACUAUCAUGAUAAGCACAGUUAAGACUUAAAACAGUAAAUUCCAGAUAUAUGUUCUAAUUUGAAAUGAAAGAGAUGCUUAAAGAGAUGGCUUACAUAUGUAUCUAAAUCCUGGCUUAUCCUUUGACAUGGAUUUACUAGAUAAGAACAAAGGUCCCGAUUUGCAAUAAAACCCUUGAUGUGAUAAAGAAGUAAAAAGACAAGAUAUCACAAGGUUACUUCCAUAUGUGAAUAAACCAUCACAAACCUAUAAAUAGCUGUUUUUACAUAUGUAAGUCCACAGUUUGGGGUGAUAAGAGGAAUUUUUCUCCUGGAGAAGGAAGCUGUGGUUGACUUCAUUCUCAGAAAUCUUUGGAUAUUUGGUAUUUUUAAAUGUUUUUUCAUUCAUCUAAGGAAUGACCACAUUGUGCAGAUGCUAACCUUAUGAAUGCAUGCUUGGGUUUAGUGAAAGAUUGGUAAAAGGAAACAAGUUUUGACUCCAGUGAUGGAACCCUCUUCACCUCUGGAGCAUGAGAGACCUACUGUAUUACAAAGUGUUUCAUUCUUUUUUGUGGAGUCUUAUAUAGCGCUUGAGACUUGGUUUUACAUGCUGCUAAGGCUGGAAGAAAAGUGGCAUAAGUGGAUUUUCUGUUCAGGGGAUGUGAUGGACCCUACAGUAUGACCUGCCUCAGCUGUGGACAUAGAGGAGUGGAGGAAAAAAGGAGGAAACUUUCCGUAUUACUCCUUUCCCUUGUGAAAAUGCUUUAUGCAGCUCUGAGUUUAUGGCAUUUCACAUUCUUACAGCUCUGUUUUUUGUAAACGCAUAAAUUUUUUCCUUUGACCCAAGAUGGGUUCUUGGCUAUUUGUAUUUCUAGGCAAUAGGUGUAACGUCUGACUGAAAAGGCUUGGACUCAGGUAACUUUCUCCAGUUGGAACUGAACUUUCUCAUCAGAGAAUGGACCUCAGAAGAAAUGUACCCAAACGUGAUUGGUUCCGUGUAGAUUUAGAAAAACUCAGAGUGUGGAAGAAAAGGGGGGGAGAAACCCUCAAACAGGAAAAACAAUUCCAAUAAGAAAAGUAAUGCACUUCCUUUCUGUGAAAACAUGUAUUAUCUGAUGAACAGUCCUAUAGGGUAAAGCUGUCCUUGCUUCCAAAUCAACAGAGGACCACUGUAUGAAUUUCCAGGUCUUUACAUAAGAAGGAAACCUUUUAUAAUA